CAGAGCACAGAUAUUAUGAAGGUGGAGGGUCAUAACUCAUAACUUUUCAAAUUCCAUUUGAGUUAUUACACUAUCAGUUGCCAAAAAGCAUUUACACAUUGUUUUCUAAUUUCAGGCUUUCUGGGUGUAGUGAAGAGAAACAGGAAAUGUGAAUCAGCUUAAUACUGGGACAGAGAGCCAUCUGCUGAACCAAACAACAAGAGUAAACAGGAGUCAGUCAGUUGGGAUCCCUGCUGCUGCUGCUGCUGCCUUCAAUGCUGCAGAUGAGGAAAUCCCCUAACCAGUUGGCCAGCAAGUCUGUCAGCCAGUCGACCAGAGGGCGCUGCCAAUCAUCAUCUGGUUCUUCUCAUGCAGCUCUGCACGGAUCUUUCCAUUGCACCAAUGUGGUGAUGUACCUGCUGAGGUUGAACCAAUACCCAUGUUAAAGGAUUACCACAGACCUGACUGUGAACACUGUUGACACCCAACUGAGGGGGAAACGCUGCCUAAGAUCUCAAGGCUGCUUAGUCGUAGUCUUUCUGGCCCUGCUCCAGAACGCCUUCAUCAUCUACGUCUUCUUCUGAAGAGGCCCUCAGAUGCUGCAAUCUCUGACCUUAAGGAGGAACUGCUACUUUCACUCCGUAACGAGACGGUGGUUAUUUUAAAGACCCAGCUCCUGGUGGCUUUGAGUGAAAAUUUAACAUCCAUCAAAACGGAACGGCAGACAGUUAAAUCUGAGCUUUCGGUCAGAAUUUCAAACAUCAAGUCAACCCGGGUGCCCUAAAUCACGCUGUGGGUGAAGCAGAAAAUUCACUCUCCACAUCACCGAUGGCAUCGUCACACUCCAAAACAGAGCACUGCUGAACAGAGAAUAAUAAACUGCUGAAACAGUUGGUCUGUCCUUCUGUAAGUGAAAGCUAAACAGGAAGUGGUUCACUGAGGAUGUCGUCCAUUCAGUCUCCUUCUUCACAACCAGAUGAGGUUUUCCUUCUGAUGACUUCCCUCAGAAGAUCCUCACGGUGGACAUGAGACACCUGAGAUGAAGACAGACGUCACAGCAUCAGCAUCAAUGGCAGAGGUUCAUUGUAAAGUAUCCCUGGAAAGAUUUCCUCUGUCAUAUAUAUAUAUAUAUAUAUUCCAAGCACUGAAAGACAGAAAGGCCUGUAGUCACUUUAGCUUUAGAGGAGAGGAUUUUAUUAUCCAUCUUAUCUGUGAUGCAAUUUAACUGUAGUGUUCAUCAUUACUUUGGACAUAUUCUGGGAGGUUAUUUUUCCUAAUCUACAUUUCAGAAAUAUGUACCACAACAUGUGAAUCAAUCAUUAAACAAUGUUAAUGACUAUAGAGUAGAUUUACUGUUUUCUCCAGUUUACUUCAGAGACUCAGCAGAUAUUUAGGACGACUGACAACACAGAACCUUAACCUUACUGUUUUAAUCACAUUUAGGUUUUCUAAACAUUACACCAGCGUCUCCACACAGUUUUAUUAACUAAAUGCACCACAUUGCAGCAACACAACACACUUCAGCUGUUUCCA